AUUGAACGCUGGCGGCAGGCCUAACACAUGCAAGUCGAGCGGAGCGGCGGACGGGUGAGUAAUGCCUAGGAAUCUGCCUGGUAGUGGUGGAUAACGUCCGGCAACGGGCGCUAAUACCGCAUACCAGCGGAUGUGCCCAGAUGGGAUUAGCUAGUAGGUGGGGUAAAGGCUCACCUAGGCGACGAUCCCUAGCUGGUCUGAGAGGAUGACCAGCCACACUGGAACUGAGAACCGGUCCGGACUCCUACGGGAGGCAUCAGUGGGGAUGAUUGCAAAUGGAGCGCAAGCCUGAUGCAGCCAUGCCGCGUGUAUGAAGAAGGCCUUCGGUUUGUAAAGUACUUUCAGCGGGGAGGCGUUACCCGCAGAAGAAGCACCGGCUAACUCCGUGCCAGCAGCCGCGGUAAUAC
rnacentral:rRNA from 1 species